GAACGCUGGCGGUAUGCUUAACACAUGCAAGUCGAACGAGAGUUUUUGACUCUAGUGGCGAACGGGUGCGUAAUACGUGGGAAUCUGCCCUUAGGAGAAGAAUAACUACUGGAAACGGUAGCUAAGUCUUCAUAUGCCGAGAGGUGAAAUAGUUUCAACUGCCUAUGGAUGAGCUCACGCCUGAUUAGCUAGUUGGUGAGGUAAUGGCUUACCAAGGCCACGAUCAGUAGCUGGUUUGAGAGAACGAUCAGCCACACUGGGACUGAGACACGGCCCAGACUCCUCCGGGAGGCAGCAGUGAGGAAUUUUCCGCAAUGGGCGAAAGCCUGACGGAGCAAUACCGCGUGAGGGAUGAAGGAUCUUGGUCUGUAAACCUCUUUUCUCAAGAAAGAAGUUCUGACGGUAUUUGGGGAAUAAGCAUCAGCUAACUGCGUGCCAGCAGCUGCGGUAAUACGUGGGAUGCAAGCGUUAUCCGGAUUUAUUGGGCGUAAAGCGUCUGUAGGUGGCUUUGCAAGUUUGUUGUUAAAGAAUUCAGCUCAACUGGGUUUCAGCAUCAAAAACUACUAAGCUUGAGUCAAGUAGAGGAAAAGGGAAUUCCCUGUGGAGCGGUGAAAUGCGUAGAGAUAGGGAAGAACACCAAAGCGAAGCACUUUUCUGGCAUUGACUGACACUGAGAGACGAAAGCUAGGGGAGCGAACAGGAUUAGAUACCCUGGUAGUCCAGACCGUAACGUGGGCACUAGUUGUGGGAACCUUUCACGGUUUCUGCGACGCAGCUACGCAUAAG
rnacentral:rRNA from 1 species